GUGGGGAAUAUUGCGCAAUGGCCGAAAGGCUGACGCAGCGACGCCGCGUGGGGGAUGAAGCAUUUCGGUGUGUAAACCCCUGUUGCCCGGGACGAACAAGCGAUUUCGAUCGCUCUGACGGUACCGGGUGAGGAAGCACCGGCUAACUCCGUGCCAGCAGCCGCGGUAAUACGGAGGGUGCGAGCGUUGUCCGGAAUCACUGGGCGUAAAGGGCGCGUAGGCGGUGACUUAAGCGUGUGGUGAAAGCCCGGGGCUCAACCCCGGGUCUGCCGUGCGAACUGGGUCACUCGAGCACUGUAGAGGCAGGUGGAAUUCCGGGUGUAGCGGUGGAAUGCGUAGAGAUCCGGAAGAACACCGGUGGCGAAGGCGGCCUGCUGGGCAGUAGCUGACGCUGAGGCGCGACAGCGUGGGGAGCAAACAGGAUUAGAAACCCGUGUAGUCC
rnacentral:rRNA from 1 species